rnacentral:rRNA from 1 species
GACGAACGCUGGCGGCGUGCUUAACACAUGCAAGUCGAACGGGCCCGCCCCUGUUUUUGGGGGUGGGUUGAGUGGCGAACGGGUGAGUAUCCCGUGAGUAACCUGCCCCCUGCUCCUGGAUAACUGCUUGAAAGGGCGGCUAAUACGGGGUGUGCCGGCUGGUCCGCAUGGGCCUGGUCGGGAUAGUUUCAUCUUCGGGUGUUUCGGUGGGGGAUGGGCUCGCGGCCUAUCAGCUUGUUGGUGGGGUGAUGGCCCACCAAGGCGGUGACGGGUAGCCGGCCUGAGAGGGUGGGCGGCCACACUGGGACUGAGACACGGCCCAGACUGCUGCGGGAGGCAGCAGUGGGGGGUAUUGCACAAUGGGCGGAAGCCUGAGGCAGCGACGUCGCGUGAGGGAGGGAGGCCUUCGGGUUGUGAACCUCUUUCUCCGGUGGUGAAGGCCCUGUCCGUUGCGGCGGGGUUGACGGUAGCCGGGUAUGAAGCGCCGGCUAACUACGUG